CUGUUGCACCAGAAGUAGGUAGCCUAACCGCAAGGAGGGCGCUUACCACGGUGUGGCCGAUGACUGGGGUGAAGUCGUAACAAGGUAGCCGUAGGUGAACCUGCAGAAGGAUCA
rnacentral:rRNA from 1 species